rnacentral:lncRNA from 1 species
UUUUUAGAACUUCAACUGUGGAAAAAAAUCAUAGUCUGUUCAUCAGCUUCACGCCAGCCUUGUGGUCUUUCUCAGCUUCAAGGAUCUGUGUGAGUGAAUUGGCCUCAGAAAGACAGUGAAGCAUGAGCUCAUCUUCACCACAUCUGCUCAGCACACUUCAUUGUGUAAGGCAUCCUAUUCACAGAGUCCAAGGACUAGGAAUGGACAGCUUCAGAGGCCACCGUUCUGUCUCCCACAGACCUGAUCUCCCUCAGGCUGUGCAGACUAGUUUGCUGGGAUUAUUAUGCAUUGCGCACAUGAGCUUUUCAUAAUAAUUUGUAUUGAUUAUUUAUGAAUUUCCAAUCACGAACCCUGAACACAAUCACUUUCCAGUCCUCCCAGGUCUGUCCCCUACUCUUGUGACCUCCCACCCCUAAAAAAGAAGAAUAAAAAGAAAAAGAAAUCCAAUGAGUCUAAUUUGUGAGUAAUACUUACUCACUGGAGCAUGGUAAAACUUCUGCUGGCCAGCCACUGAAAGAAAACUGAGUCCCCAUCCCCUGACUCCCAACACCCCUGCCAUCAAUUGUGGAGAGCUAUAUUUCAGCAUCUAUAUCACAGUUUUUAAGAGUUCUCUUUGGUGGCUGUCUCAGCUGUUACUUUUGGAGAGUGGAGUUGAGGUGGAGAUAGCUGUUACAGAAGCCUCCUAUG